CACAGACAAAAUCUACUUGGUUAACAAGAUAGUUUUCCUUUUUAAAGGAUUGGCGGUAGGGGGAAGUGAAAUGUAGAGACCAUAGGCCUGCAAAGACUAAAAUAUUUACCUUUUCCCCUUUACAGAAAGAGUGUGAUGAUCCCUGAUGUACAAAAUGCUUCAAAACUGACAGUGUACUUAUAAUACAUAUUAGCUGUGCAUAGCUGGCAAUACACCUUAUUUUCAUAUAUAUCUCAGUUAUUUAAAUUAUCUUUCCUCAUGAUAAGGGGGAGAAAAAGGAAAGAUUUAAACCUGAUUACUUCCAAAUUCUGCAUUCUUUAAGCCCAGAGGUUGAUAUUAAAGCCUAGGGCAGGGUUGGUGUAGUCUACCAAAUUAUUAGGCCACUACUAUGAGCAGGGAGUUCAGGCUGUCUCCUUGGGGCAUCACUGUUCCAGGACUACUCAUUCUUUUUUCUAACCAUCACUAGGAAUCCCAAACCCCAGGAAUCCUGUUCACUCAAGCUCAAAGAAAUCAUGUUACUGGCUGAUCCUUCUCAGCAGGCUGGCACAUCUGUGUAUUUUCUAUCUAAAUGUUCACAUUGGCCUGAGGCAUCUCUUCACAUUUUCUCUACAUAGCCUGACACUUUCCUCUUCUCAUCAGCCUAGAGCUUCUGAGGAAAAGGGAGGACUGAAAUACAAUUUCACUGAUAUGUCUCUCUCAAACGGAGUGGAGGUAAAAAAAAUAAACUUUAAAAAAAUACCUAAAACUUAAUAAAUGACUCAAAACUAUAAUAAAAAGAACCUUACACUGGCCCAGGCAUUAUAUUGCCAAUCUCAAGAUAGCUCCUCAAGGUAAUAACAAAAUCAAAAA